UUUUUCUCUUAAAGCCACGGGCGGGAAGGUCAGAGGCCUUGCGCUGGGGACCCUGGUGAGCAGCUGGAAGCCUAAGUAAAGGCCAGAAGUCCAGUUUCAAUAAUAGACCUGAGCAGCUGGAGCCACUUCUGGCUUGUCAUGGACCCAGUAUCAGGCCCCAUACCCAGGGGCGGUACAGCCCCCCCCACCGGCCUUCCCGAGGGAGCAGGUCUCCCACCCAGUUCCUGCCUGACUGAUGGGAUUCUAGAAGGCAGAGCAGGGGAAUACAAGCUGGCCCUUUGCAGGGACUCCUCCACCUGUUGGGAGGCUUCACGUCUGGACCCAGGGGUCCAGACAGGAAACAGAAACCACACUGGAUGUUUCAAACAGAGGGCAUGAAGUCA